GUACAACAAACCCCGUGAAUCCCGUCAGGUCCGAAAGGAAGCAGCGGUAACGGAUCGUUUGUGUGUUGCAGUUUUCCCGGCCUUC
rnacentral:SRP_RNA from 1 species